CUUGAACAAGGUCAUGAAAAACAUGUUUUAUUUAAAACCAAAUUUUAUUUCAUUCAAGCCUUUCCACAUUACAAGUCAUUUUACAAGUUCAUACAAAUAAAAACAAAUAAGAAAACCCUAAUUUCUAACCUACAUUUGAUUUUGGUCAACUAUUGACUUUUUGGUCAAUUAGUUGACCAAAGUCAACCAUCUUCCCUAAAGUCCAUAAGUCAUCAUCUAGAUCUUCAAGUCUUGAUAUCACAAAAUCCCCACGUGUCCAUGCCAAACAAACCUAUAAAACACAUUCAACACCAAUUAGAUCACCAAGCAUUUUGUUCAAAAUCAAGCCUAACAAUUCAUGAAUAAUUGAAACUCUAACACUCAUUGUUUUUAAUAUAACAUCUGCCAAUUAGUAAAUAACCUCAAUUCAACCUAACAUAACAUUACCAUUUGACUCAUAACCUAGAUUAAUCCAUAGAUUCAACAUUCAAAAAGAUAGCAUCCUUCAUUCAAAUUCCAUACACAACCAACACAACAUUAAUCCAACCAUUCAAUGCAUUUUCCAUACAACAUUCAAUACAAUUCAUACACAUUCAAAUCCAUCCACAUAAACAAUUCCAUAAAACACAUUCAUAAGUAUUAAUCUUAUUCCAUAACACAAUCUACAUAUCAAUCAAUACACAAUUAAUACAUAACCAUUCCAUACAUGAUACAUCCCAAUUUCACUUCAAUUCCACGCAUGCCAUGUCCAAGCAACUCAAGGUGAACCAUACAUAAAACUUUCCAAGCAGCAAAGCUCAUGACAGAAAAAACUCUAAUCCAAGUUUAACCUAUAGAAAAUAUAACCACUAGGACUUGGUGAAAUUCAAUUAACACGACUCAAUAACAAGCACAAGCCAUAUUUUCUUAACAAGCAUAACUAACACCAUGUCAAAGCACUUAUAACACAUAGCAGGAAAAAGCAAAACAAAUACACCCUGCAUUUUCCAAUAGGACAUAACAUAAAAUUCAAAAAGCAUAAGACCCUGCAAUUCGUUCAAUAUAGCACAAUUGGAGAGUCCACAAUAAUUAACAGAAACGCAGCACAUGGAAUCAUAAGCAACUAACUGAAUUGAAACUGCUACCUAACUAUUUAUAACGGUUAACUAACUUAAGCUUCUCAGAUUUAACAGAGUUUUCACUCAGUUAAAUCAAGGGUUGUAUAUAAACACACUUCCCUGCAAGUUCUGAAGGCUCUCGAUUUUCUUUUCAUUAUUCAAUUUUCAUUUCACUCUUUGAUUCAACUCUGAUUCUUUUUAUUUUCAUUUUCACUCUUCAAACCUCUCUUUCGAUUCAACAACGCGAGCAUAACAGAAUUGCAGACAGAAAGAGGAGAAGCAGAGCAAAGGGAAGAGGAAUAUACUUGCUGAUUGCAAAAAAGCCACCGCGUCGGAGCUCCGAUUCUGUGUGCACAAACAAUUUGAUUCAAAUCCGGUAAGUCUUCUUCUACUUUCUUGCUUCGUCCGCCUUUCUUCUCAUACUUCGCAUGCACAAACGAUCCGGUUCGGUGAGGUUAGAUGUUGAUUUCGAUUUAAAUAUGAGGACUCAUAAAUAUGGAUUCAGGCUUGCUCAUGAUUUCUCGAACGUGAAAUUGAUUGUUGAAGCAAGAAGGAUUUGAGUGUUCAUGUGUGCUCGUGGUGGAAUUUUGAAUUGAGAAUGUGAGAGGGUGAAGAAACGUGAAACGAUGAAGUAAGAAGAGUUCAUGUUCAUAUGCUUUUGUUGAGCGUUUUGUGUUGCUGAGUAUUUCAUGGACUUGGUUCUGUUUGCUGCUUGGGGCCUAAGCUUUCUUUUCACACCUUCCUUCAAUAUGCAAAUCCCUGCCUCUGUGAAUUUCAGUAAUCUUUUU
rnacentral:lncRNA from 1 species